rnacentral:rRNA from 1 species
CACGUAGGGCGCAAGCGUUGUCCGGAAUUAUUGGGCGUAAAGGGCGCGUAGGCGGAUGGCACAGUCAGAUGUGAAAUUCCCGGGCUUAACCUGGGGGCUGCAUUUGAUACGUGUGAUCUAGAGUGAGGAAGAGGGUCGUGGAAUUCCCAGUGUAGAGGUGAAAUUCGUAGAUAUUGGGAAGAACACCGGUGGCGAAGGCGGCGACCUGGUCCUUGACUGACGCUGAGGCGCGAAAGCGUGGGGAGCAAACAGG